AGCGGCGGACGGGUGAGUAAUACAUAGGAAACUGCCCAGUAGUGGGGGAUAGCCCGGGGAAACCCGGAUUAAUACCGCGUACGCCCUAAGGGGGAAAGCAGGGGAUCCGUUCUUUUCGCGCUAUUGGAUGUGCCUAUGUCGGAUUAGCUAGUUGGUGGGGUAAAGGCCUACCAAGGCGACGAUCCGUAGCUGGUCUGAGAGGAUGAUCAGCCACAUCGGGACUGAGACACGGCCCGAACUCCUACGGGAGGCAGCAGUGGGGAAUAUUGGACAAUGGGGGCAACCCUGAUCCAGCCAUGCCGCGUGUGUGAAGAAGGCUUUCGGGUUGUAAAGCACUUUCAGUGAGGAGGAAAACCCUGCGACUAAUAUUCGUAGGGCUUGACGUUACUCACAGAAGAAGCACCGGCUAACUCCGUGCCAGCAGCCGCGGUAAUACGGAGGGUGCAAGCGUUAAUCGGAAUUACUGGGCGUAAAGCGCGCGUAGGUGGUUUGAUAAGCGAGAUGUGAAAGCCCCGGGCUUAACCUGGGAACGGCAUUUCGAACUGUCAGGCUAGAGUAUGGUAGAGGAGUGUGGAAUUCCCUGUGUAGCGGUGAAAUGCGUAGAUAUAGGAAGGACACCAGUGGCGAGCGGCACUCUGGACAAUACUGACACUGAAGUGCGAAAGCCGUGGGGGGAAGCCA
rnacentral:rRNA from 1 species